CAUGCCUAACACAUGCAAGUCGAACGAAGCGGUGUGGAAUGAGACUUCGGUUGAUUGAAACACUGACUUAGUGGCGGACGGGUGAGUAACGCGUGAGUAAUCUGCCUUAGAGUGGGGGAUAACGCUCCGAAAGGAAAGCUAAUACCGCAUAACAUACAGGAACCGCAUGGCUCCUGUCUCAAAGAUUUAUUGCUUUAAACUGAGCUCGCGUAUGAUUAUCUAGUUGGUGAGGUAACGGCUCACCAAGGCGACGAUCAUUAGCCGGACUGAGAGGUUGAACGGCCACAUUGGGACUGAGACACGGCCCAGACUCCUACGGGAGGCAGCAGUGGGGAAUAUUGCGCAAUGUGGGAAACCCUGACGCAGCAAUGCCGCGUGAAGGAUGAAGGUUUUCGGAUUGUAAACUUCUUUUACUGAGGACGAAGAAAAUGACGGUACUCAGAGAAUAAACCACGGCUAACUACGUGCCAGCCGCCGCUGUAAAAC
rnacentral:rRNA from 1 species